rnacentral:rRNA from 1 species
GGGUUAGUAGGUUGGUCAUGCCUCUGGCAUGUACUGGUCUCACUGAUUCCUCCUUCCUAAUGAACCUUAAUGCCAUUAAUUCGGUGUUUUGGGGAAUUUGGACUGUUACUUUGAAAAAAUUAGAGUGUUUAGAGCAAGCCAACGCUUGAAUACAUUAGCAUGGAAUAAUGAAAUAGGACGUUCGAUCCUAUUUUGUUGGUUUCUAGGAUUGACGUA